GAUGAACGCUGGCGGCGUGCCUAAUACAUGCAAGUCGAGCGAACAGACGAGGAGCUUGCUCCUCUGACGUUAGCGGCGGACGGGUGAGUAACACGUGGAUAACCUACCUAUAAGACUGGGAUAACGUCGGGAAACCGGAGCUAAUACCGGAUAAUAUAUUGAACCGCAUGGUUCAAUAGUGAAAGACGGUUUUGCUGUCACUUAUAGAUGGAUCCGCGCCGCAUUAGCUAGUUGGUAAGGUAACGGCUUACCAAGGCAACGAGGCGUAGCCGACCUGAGAGGAUGAUCGGCCACACUGGAACUGAGACACGGUCCAGACUCCUACGGGAGGCAGCAGUGGGGAAUCUUCCGCAAUGGGCGCAAGCUUGACGGAGCAACGCCGCGUGAGUGAUGAAGGUCUUCGGAUCGUAAAACUCUGUUAUUAGGGAAGAACAAAUGUGUAAGUAACUAUGCACGUCUUGACGGUACCUAAUCAGAAAGCCACGGCUAACUACGUG
rnacentral:rRNA from 1 species